UCGGUCUUACCGACGUCGGCAAUUGGAGGGCACCAGCGGCGAAGUGUCGGUUGGGGUUUUUCCCCUGCACACAGAAUAAAAGUAGGUGGGUAAACGAUCGGCGCGAUGAGUCUGCAGCCCACUACUCUCCGGAGGUCGGCAGAGGAACCGCGAGCAACCUUUAUGCCGACCGCGCCUCUUUUUUUCUUCACUAGAUCUAACUUACGCAGUUGUUGGUCCACAUCAAGCCGGCAGUGUAAGCGCGAAGGUAAAUACGAUGAAGGCAUGGCUUGGUGGCCUCCAGAACCUUUUACAGCCCACGUGAUCAAAUAGCUUGCGCGCGCAUUUCGGCCACGGAAGUGUUGUUGUUCCCCAGUGGUUCUCUAACCUGUUAGCAACUCAGAAAGUUUAUUAAAACGGUUUCCCAGCAUCAAAAUGUUUGGUUGCACUAAUAUAAUAAUAUACUAAUAUAUGUAUCUGGCCACUUUAUAUUUGGCCAUCUGCUAAUGUCUUCUAUCCACUCCACUAUAGUACACGGAUCUGGUAGAUGUGUUGAAAAAGUUGAUAAGUCAACUUUUUAAAAUAACUUUGUCUGUGUUACUUCACUGCUGAUUCUUACCAUACUUCCGUUGCCAAACUGCGUGCACCUACGUUGCCACAUCAUCAUUGUGUACAAAGAGUAAAAGGGUCUAUAAAGACUCAUACAAAAUACUCCAAAGGUUUUUCAAGAGGACAUCACCCAACCCAUCUAAAGGAUGGAAACAAUACUCUUGUUGAAUACUACAUGAGACAAACCAUCCUGACUUAGAUCACCAUCACCACCAUCAUCCCCUGCAUCGUGCCCUUCAUCAGACACCCAAAAUGCACCACAAACAUCACAGUGACAAAAAGGAAGCAGCCUUCUCUAGCCCACCCAAGUUUCCAUCAAAGGAGCAAGCCUAUGUCAGUAAGAAGAAAGCUGGCUAACCCUCCCACCCCUUGUUUAACUCCUCCAGCCCAUCCCACAUCAUUGUAGAGUGAAGAGACUGCGGUUAAUAUUCAGAAAGAGGCGCAGAGAACUGAAGGCUUUCCUGACUUGACACCGAAUAAUAACGAAGGCCUGUGUGCUUUACAGCAGCCUCCACGUCACCCUCUUCCAGGGCUCCGUCAGAGGACUAACGAUAGUAACAUAUUUUACAUUGCCACAAGAUGAUUGGCAGCAAGACACACCCAGUGAUGAAGGGAUUUGCUCUCCUUAAAUCACAGCCUAUUCAUCAGGUACUCCUGAGUGCUGUGUUAAGAAAUCCUGCCUACAAAGUUCCACUGAGGCUGAUAUAAAGAUGACUGUGAGAAACUGGCUGCGGCUGUCUGAGCAGAGACAGGAAUGGGGGCGGCAAAGGCGGGACAAGCAAGCAUCUUAAGUGAAAUAAUUGAUUGGACUGAUUCUGGAGUAUGACUUAUUCUGGAGGGAAUUUCUUAUUUUUGUUGCAGUUUGCUAUGGGACGGUUUCAAGGACAGGGAUUAGACUAGUUCUAGACUAAAAUAAAUGUAAGAGCUGUCCAAACUGAAAACAACUUGCACUGACAUAUCAUAAAAUACAUCAGUGUCUUUUGUGAUGCUUCAAAAUGCACACAAGUAAUGUUUUUAUUAAGACAUGUUAUUAAAACUAGUUAUAUUUCAGAAUUAAACUAAGGCCUAGUCCCGGUUUAAGAUAAUCCCUGUCCGGGAAACCACCCCAAAGUGUAAUUUGUGGAGUGUUAAAAUAAAUGAAACUGCCUUUGCAAAAACAAAGUAAAAAAAAUUUUCCAGAUGCCCUUCUGUUUUGU